UGGGGAAUAUUGGACAAUGGGCCACGAGCCUGAUCCAGCAAUUCUGUGUGCACGAUGAAGGCCUUCGGGUCGUAAACCUCUGUCAGGAGGAAAGAACGGCGAGAGUGCUAAUCAGCUCUCGUUUGACGGUACCUCCAAAGGAAGCACCGGCUAACUCCGUGCCAGCAGCCGCGGUAAUACGGAGGGUGCAAGCGUUAAUCGGAAUUACUGGGCGUAAAGCGCACGUAGGCGGCUUUAUAAGUCAGAGGUGAAAGCCCACGGCUCACCCGUGGAACUGCCUUUGAUACUGUUUAGCUUGAGUUCGUGAGAGGGUGGCGGAAUUCCAGGUGUAGGAGUGAAAUCCGUAGAGAUCUGGAGGAACAUCAGUGGCGAAGGCGGCCACCUGGUGCGACACUGACGCUGAGGUGCGAAAGCGUGGGGAUCAAACA
rnacentral:rRNA from 1 species